GAUGAAGAACGUAGCGAAAUGCGAUAAGUAGUGUGAAUUGCAGAAUUCAGUGAAUCAUCGAAUCUUUGAACGCACAUUGCGCCCCUCGGUAUUCCGUGGGGCAUGCCUGUUCGAGCGUCAUUUAACCCCUCAAGCCUAGCUUGGUAUUGGGUGCUUGUCCCGCCUCUCGCGCGGCGACUCACCUCAAAGUCAUUGGCAGCCCGCAUCUCGCCGGCCGUGAGCGCAGCACAGACGCUCUCUUGGCAACGACGGAUCGGCUCUCCAAAAGCUUAUUUCAACCACUGACCUCGGAUCAGGUAGGGAUACCCGCUGAACUUAAGCAUAUCAAUAAGCGGAGGA
rnacentral:misc_RNA from 1 species